rnacentral:rRNA from 1 species
UCUGACCUCAAAUCAGGUGGACUACCCGCUGAACUUAA